GUCGUCUGGAAAGAAUUUCUCUCCGUUUCUGUGAAUCUGUGACACUGUCCACUGAUUCCUGUGAGUCUUCACUUUCUGCUAUAGUUGAAAUCUGAACUGUCUGGACCUGUGGAGACUGAAUAACUGAUGGCUGGGCAGCCUGAAUUACGCCGUGCACUUGAACUGUCUGCCCAUUGGGCAGCUGAACUAAGGUCACCGUGGGUGCAGAAGACGUGGCGUGAGCUGCUGGCAUAGAUACCUGGGCUAACGUUGCAAUCUGUGGUUGUGCCUGUACUGUCAUCUGUUGGGUUUCUGCCUCUGUAACGGCUGCAUCUCCACUCUGCUGGUUCUCUGCUCCAGAUUCCAUGGUCAUUUAGUUACCGGUUGCGGGCUGCUCCGUCACUGCUUUCGUUCGCGCCUGGGAUCUCGCCGCAGUUUUAUUCUCUCCCCCACGUAACACACCGCGUCAAACUACACCUCCGCCGCGUCACUCACACACACACAGGCGCUCCCAGCCCGGCGACAGGCAGGCAGCGGCCGACUGAGGAGCGCCAGCCAGGGAGCAAGCGCCGAGCGCGCCGCGGCCCGCACGGAAACCGCCGAGCGCUCACGGAAACCGCCGAGCGCGCGGCGGGCGGCGGGAACGGCCGAGCGCGCCGCCGGCCUCCUCGGAAAGAGCCGAGCGGCCGCGGAAACGAACGAAGCGCCCCGGAGGGGUGGCGGAAAGAGCCGAGCGGCCGCGGGAAGGCGCGAACGGCGCUUCCGCCCGAGGCGGCCCGCGGGGCGGGCGGCGGGCUGGCGCGGAAACCCCCGGGCGCGCACGGAAACGGCCGAGCCGCCCCGAGCGGAAGGGGCCCCGCGGGCGGCCGCCGCCCCGCCGAGCGCGCCCGGGGCGCCGGGACCCCGGGUUCGCCGAGCGCGGCCCCGAGCGCGCGUCGGCCGCCGCCCCGCGGGGGCUGCGCGCCCCAGGGCUCCUCCCUCGCUGCCCCGCCGAUCGCGGGGCCCGGGAGCCUCGUCGGCCCGCGGGGACCCCCGCGCCCAACGUCUCCACAAGCACAGCGCGGCGGCGCGGAGCCCCGGCCCUCCCCGCGACACAGAUCCGCCCGCGAAGCGCCGCGCUGCCGGCCGCCGCUAGGCCGGGGGGGCAGACAGGAGCAGACGCCGGGCCGCGAUGGCGGAAACCGGGGCGCCCGCAGCGCCAGCGCCGUGCUCCGCCACCCCAGGACGGGCUCCUCCGGGCACCGAACGGACAAGCCGUUGUCAGGGGAGGCUCUUCGAGGAGCCGGGGCUGCCUCGGCACGGGGUGCGCUGCCCGAGCGCGCCUCCAGCGCGGUCUGCUCGGGGCUAAGGGGCGCACCUCGUCCCGCAGCGAGGAGAGCCAACUUUACCAACUCCUGCCGCCCGAUAAAAGCCCGACGCAGUCUCGCAUAAAGCACUUUCGUGUCACGACACCUCAAGAUGGCACUGCAGAACAAGCUUUGAAGCUCCUGUCAGGCACAUCCCCGGCGCACGGCACCGGCUCUGCCGCUCGGCCCCGCCGUGCUCCUGUCCAGCCCUGCUUUCUCAGGGACGCCUAAUGGAUUUCGUUGAGGCCGUCUCGCGUAAAUCCACCCGACAUCAAAGGGCGGUGCAGAGAACAAUCGCGGGUUUACUUUCUGUUUGCUUCUGUUGAUUACGGUUAUUCUAAAAUCAACUGAAAUAAGCCGGAACUGACAUAUUUAAACAAGGGAGCUCAUGUUAAACUGACAGCGCGGUGCUAAUAACCCCACGACACGGCUUGGGCCACAUCUCAUUUUCCAUCCCUGCUGCGCUUGUCCCCUUCGGCCUGUCUGCAAGCAGGAGCUUCAAGGCUGUGAGAACCUACGUGAGAAAAUGCCCGCAAUGAGCGGGUUGAAAGGCAACCAAAAGGCUCAGACCAGGCCUCAGACGGUGACUCCCAUUAGCAGCCCCAGCUGCACGCUCAGCCAGAGCAGCAGCAGUGCUGCUGACAGGACUGGGUUACAGCCAGGGCCUGAGCUAUAUACACAGCGGGCAGCUCCUUGCACGGCUCUGAUCCUGCUGCCCAUUUAAGGUCUGGAUGAUCCUCCGGCAAUCCCGCUGGCCUUCCCCAGCCCUGCACCCACUUGGGGCUUUCAGCAGUGCUCUCGGUGCCCAUCAGCUCAGCUGCAAAGGGCAUCUUGCAGCGGUGGCUGCUCCUUUGCCAGCCAGCAUAGGCUCCUCAUAGCACAGAUAGCUCAAGAGCGCAGUUUAUCUCAAACUAAAACAGAUGCCUCGGGUAGGUCACAUGCCUGGAGCCAUUUGAGAUUGUGCCAAUGUUAUGUUUCUGUGGUAUUUUCAUCUCUUGCCCAUGGCUGAGGCUAAGACCAUAUGUGGACUGGAGCUGGCUUCAGCCCUGACUCACGCAGAUUCAGUGGCAAGGCUGGGAGAACAUCUCGUGUGCAGCUGCUCUGAAACUUUCUGGCAGCUGCUUUGCACAUUCUUCUUUCCCUUCCAGGGUGUUUGUUUUUCUCCUCUCAGUCAGCAUCCUGACCAAAAUCAGGACACGAAGUAAAACUGGGACUUCUUCAGGAGUGGGAGUCUGAGCCGCAAAACCCCCUUCCCUCACUAGCAUCUAUGCAUUCCUUUAACUGUGGUCUCUUGGGGAAUUUGGACAAAAUGGGAUGGUAAUGAUGUACCAAUUACCCACAAAGUCCAAAAGGGAGAGGUUGACUUGGGGAGCAAACUGGAGAGCUCAGCAGUUUUCUUCAUCGGUGAAAGUUUGCUCGACGAUGAGUGAAACCCAGAAAGAUUAAUUACUUUUCUUGCAGUUAAGCCUCAGGGGCAAAUUCAUUAGCUCUGCAGCUGCCAGGCUGAUUAUCCUGGGCAGUGGUUCCUUGUGCAUGGCUUUGCAGGUUGAUCGCCCCUGGCCCAGGGUCUGUGGAGGCUAAGGGGUGGCACAGAGAUCCAGAUAGGUUGGCACCUGGCUGCGAGGUGUGGCAGAGCCACAGACCACAAGUGGCAGUAGUGGAGUAGUCAGAACUGCUGACGCUGGUCACACACAGGGCAGUAUUUAUUGCGGAAACACAGAGAAAUGUGCAUUUUAAGCACUCCGGUCUACACGCCACUGAGCAGAAUGCAACACAAAAAUAGUUUCUGAAGCCACCUCAAGGACUGAUUUAUAGCAAAAUCGUCUUUCAACAUCACAUACUCACUGCCAGUUUCCGUAGGACCACUGUGGUCUGGCAGUGCAGGGACAGAGAGAGGGUGUUUUGUACUUGCAUGACUUAACGUACAGCACAAGUAUUGCUGGGGAGAAAAGAAGGUAGGGUGUGCUCCAGGGCUUCACAACCACCUUCACUAAUGGAUAUUCUCCUAAGGAAAGAGACAGAAGCAGAUCGCUUGCAAGUAAUGAAUGUGGAGGGAGGCAGAUGUUACAUUAGAUGGUUAGCAAAGUGUCCGGCACAUUUCAGUACAACAAGCAUUGCACUGCACUAUUUCUGAAACAGAUGCAGAGGAAGGCAGGAGUACCUCCAUGUCUCUGUGAUGGAUGUUGCUGCUCAUAGCAGACUGACCCAAAGGUGACUGGUAGGGCAGAAAAUGAAAGAUGCUCCUCUGAAACCCAAUGGCAAGUCCUCCAUUUUGGUCUCUGCAUCUGAGAUAGAUGGAGGCUUAGCUACAAACUCCCAUGCAGAGCAGCCUUCAAUCAUUUUAUAGCCUCUCAGGACCAGCUAAAACUGCUUACUCAUCAGGAUGAGGACAAAACCCUACAGGUUUAGUACCUGCCAGGGAGAAGAAGAUUCACUGGGCUCCCCGAGCACUUUAUUACAGAAGUAGGUCUAAAUUCACAGGUACCUUCGAACAAAGUAACCAAAAAUAGAAAUAGUUUUUCAACGUCAUCCCACUUAAAGUUAAUGAACUGCAGCUCAGGUCUGCCCUCCCUGCUCUUGGACAUUAAUCAUUGCUAAAAGCAAUAAAUCUUCUAGGCCAAAUACAGGCUUUACAAGCAGGCAGUUUGCAUGCUCAAUUAGCCCAAGGAAAUUGGUGACUUGGCUUAACCCCCAUUGUUUGAAAUACAGAAUCCUGCUGCUGCAUCGGUCACUUUUUUUCCUGCGAACGCAGCAGCCCAGGAGGGGAAAUCCCCGUCCCCUGGUGGGGACACGCUACUUUCUGCAAGGCUGCAUCCUUUGCUUUCAUCUCAGUGCCACUCAGUGAUGCAGCAAAGGUGGGAUUUGAACUGGGUGCAGCAGUGAAGGUGCAGGCAUGCUCUGUGCUGCUUUUCUUGCUUUGGGACCAACAGGGAAAUGGCCUGACGGCACCUUGGUUAUCAGUGUCACUGCACCGACAGCAACUCCCUUGUGCCAAAACAUGGUGACUUUUUCCUUGUCUGUUAACUCUUUUACCACAUACUUCACAAUUUGUGGGUAUACCCAAAACCCUUCUGUUGCUUUAAGAACUACAAAAACCGAUUAAUGAUAUUGGCAGCACUUCACUGAAGAGUCAGGCACAGCAAAUGCGAAGAGGAGGACAGGUCUCCAGCUGAGAUACCACGUGCUGGGAUGUGGCUGCAGGGUGAGCAAGGCCAGCCCAAGGCAGGGGAGAGGUCUCUCGGUGGGAACUUUUCCAUCCCUGUGGGAAAUUUAAUUUAUCUGUGGCACACGGAGGAAAAAACUGAGGUAGAAGGCCUGGUGCUGAAAUGUAAAAACACAGUAAACCCAGUAACUGCUUUCAGACUGAAAAUGGGGCGGUGGGGGAGAAAUUUUCAGGGAGUAAUUUUGGGAAAUACCCUCUGAGAUUUGGCCAGCUUUAGCUCCGAGUGCCUGCACUGUAGCCUGAAGUUGGCUGCCGGGGAUAAUCACUCUGAUGGUAAAUACUGCAUUUCUAUCGGCACAGCCUGCUGGUUUGGAAUCAGCUCCCAUCAUAUAGAAAACAUUAUUUAGAGUGGCUUCCAUACUUUGAAAAAAUAGAAAUAAAUCUUACACCUCCCUAUCUGUCUUUCUGUCACGUGAGGACCUAGCAAACAUUCAUCUGCUGAAUAAUUUUGGUGGCAGCAGGAAGCUGGGAGUCCAUGCAUGUGGCAUUUGGUUUCAAGAUCAGGAUCUCAUCAACUUGCUUUAGCUGAUGUCUGUGUACGCUGAGCUGCUCCAGUUUUCAGCAUGUCCUUUCACUCUAAAGUUGAAUUGCUGGAGUUGUGGGAAGAAGGGGGAGGUUUUGGGGAAAAUGCUGGUAGAAACACCUGGGGGGUUGGCUGAUUGGAACAAAACAGGAAAAAAAGAAGGUGGAAGAGCAGAGGAACGGUUAAUGUUGACCUCCUUAGUUUUCCAUUGCAAGUGUGUGCUAUCCGUUGCUAAUUUAGCUGCACAAGGGGACCACGCUUCCUUUAACACAUACCAGGGCUCCGAUCUUUCUCUCAGCUUGUGAUAUACAAACAGCAAAUUGAGUCCCAGUUGAGCUGUAUUUAUCAGCUCAAAAGAAACUGGAUUUUUCCCUUACGCAGUCGGGCAGAAAACCUUGUCAGACAACAUGAGCAGAGAACAACACGCUCUCCCAAACUCCUUGCAGGUGGUCAAUUUCAACCAUUAGAUUGGCAUAUCCCCACUGUCCAUCAUGCAUCCCUAUCUUAUCUCUCUAUCCCCGCUGCCCAUCAUCCGUGCCCACCUCCCAUGCCCAUCAUCCAUCUCCAUCCCCACCACUUAUCUGUGUGAUAUCCAUCACCUCCUUUCAUCCCACACCAUCAUCUUUUGCACAACUAACUGCUUUGCCCUCUGACCACAUGCACUGAUCGAAGUGAAGAUGACUGCAAGCUGGUUUGAAUUGCAAUUUAAACAGGCAAGCAGGAAGCCUGGAUUUAAAUAAUGAGGUUUAGCCUUGUUUUUGGAUUUGUUUUUGCUUAUUGUCUUUCAGGUCGAUUCUCAUGGACUGCUAACUAUUAAAACGUAGUGAUUUAUACAAUACCUCUACUGGCCUUGCUAUUAUGUGUAGGUGAGAAUGAGAUACUGUAUCUAAUCACAGGUAUUUAUUUAUCCAAUUACAUAACAUAUUUACCUGUGUGGCUAUAUAACAUAUAAUUUAAUUUGUUCUAUGAAAAUAGCGUGCCUUCCUUACUAGAUUUGUGUCAAACCAUCUGAACAUAAAUUGGAAUUCAAAUAAAAAAAUCACAUUACUUUAAAGUAUUCUUAUUUAACUAUUGAUAAAAUAGCUCGGAUGGGCACAGAGUAAAUGACAGUAAAACUGGCGUUUACAACAGACCUAUUAGACAGAGGGGAAUUGGACUGAGGAAAACAAAUCGAUUUUUUUCUACGCUACGCUUGAAGACUGCGCAUAUGGAAGGGAUCUGCUGAUUUAGAAAAACCUAAUCAUAGACAAAUGCUCAUUUCUUUCCUUCUGCCUCUCACUUUGGUGUUGAUCUCCAGGGGUUAGGGGGCUCCUGAUGCUGCAGUGCACAUCUUGUGUGCUCCCAGUGAGCUGCUAUGAGAUGUUGGGAAAC
rnacentral:lncRNA from 1 species